UACGGGGGGGGCAAGCGUUGUUCGGAAUACUGGGCGUAAAGCGUGCGCAGGCGGUGAUGUAAGACAGGUGUGAAAUCCCCGGGCUUAACCUGGGAACUGCAUUUGUGACUGCAUCGCUGGAGUGCGGCAGAGGGGGAUGGAAUUCCGCGUGUAGCAGUGAAAUGCGUAGAUAUGCGGAGGAACACCGAUGGCGAAGGCAAUCCCCUGGGCCUGCACUGGACGCUC
rnacentral:rRNA from 1 species